rnacentral:rRNA from 1 species
AGAGACAGCAGCCGCCGCGGGAAUACGUAGGUGGCAAGCGUUGUCCGGAAUUAUUGGGCGUAAAGGGCUCGCAGGCGGUUUCUUAAGUCUGAUGUGAAAGCCCCCGGCUCAACCGGGGAGGGUCAUUGGAAACUGGGAAACUUGAGCGCAGAAGAGGAGAGUGGAAUUCCACGUGUAGCGGUGAAAUGCGUAGAGAUGUGGAGGAACACCAGUGGCGAAGGCGACUCUCUGGUCUGUAACUGACGCUGAGGAGCGAAAGCGUGGGGAGCGACCAGGAUUAGAUACCCCAGUAGUCCCUGUCUCUUAUAC